rnacentral:rRNA from 1 species
AGAGAGAGACAUGCGCGCAUAUCAAUAAGCGGAGGAAAAGAAACUAACAAGGAUUCCCUUAGUAACGGCGAGUGAAGCGGGAAGAGCUCAAAUUUGAAAUCUUCAAGGUUUUACCUUGACGAAUUGUAGUUUAAAGAAGUGUUUUCUGCUGAAGUUUUGGUAAAAGUUCUUUGGAAUAGGACAUCAUAGAGGGUGAGAAUCCCGUAUUUGACCAUUAUUUUCAGCUCUGUGAUACACUUUCAAAGAGUCGGAUUGUUUGGGAAUGCAGUCCAAAAUGGGUGGUAAAUUUCAUCUAAAGCUAAAUAUUGGCGAGAGACCGAUAGCGAACAAGUACCGUGAGGGAAAGAUGAAAAGAACUUUGAAAAGAGAGUUAAACAGUACGUGAAAUUGUCAAAAGGGAAGCGUUUGACACCAGUGUUGUUUUCUCGAAAAUCAAUUAAAAAUGGCUCGAUUUUGUAUUGCUGAGACCUUAAAAGCUCACUGUACAUUUCUCGUGUCUUUUUUAAUGCACUUUUCGUUUAACAAGUCAACAUCAGUUUCUUUUGUUGUAAAAGGGUCAUUGGAAGGUGGCUUUCUUUUCGGAGAAAGUGUUUAUAGCCUUUGGCCUCUGCAAUCGAAGAGACUGAGGUCUGCAGCGUAGACUCUUCGGGGUUAGAUACAUUUGUGCUAAGUUAUAGCUUUUUAUAGACAACUUGUUGACUAUAAUUAGUCUUGUAGCUUACUCGCUUAUGCUAUUUUACCUACGCUUAGGAUGUUGAAGAUGUAGCACAUCAU